GGAGAGGUGACCGAGCGGUUGAAGGUACCGGUCUUGAAAACCGGCGUGGGCUAAUACUCACCGUGGGUUCGAAUCCCACCCUCUCCGCCA
rnacentral:tRNA from 1 species